GCAUCCAUAGCUCAGUUGGUAGAGCAGCGCCCUUUUAAGGCGAUGGUCGCAGGUUCGAAUCCUGCUGGAUGCA
rnacentral:tRNA from 1 species